AUGCCUAUAAAUAGGGAAAGACCUCCUCAUUUGUAGAAUGUACAAAAAAUGUGUGAGCCCAAGUGUGUACCAAAGUGAUCACUUGUGUAAUAAAAAUUAAGAAUUACAAAAGUCUCUCUCCAUGUAGCUACAUAUAUUAAACCUUCCAAACUACCUCCAUUUCUUCAUUUAUCAACUAAACAAAAUCUCUUUCCUUCUUACAUUUAAAGGUCUUCUACUACCUCCAUUUCUUCAUUUAUCAACUAAACAAAAUCUCUUUCCUUCUUACCUUUAAAGGUCUUCUAUCUUUCAAUUGUUCUCCUACAAAUAACAUCGCUGACAUGGACGCUGACAAAGAUGACACUUCAGAAGGAAACCUCGUGGACGUUCAAAAUAGUGUUCUGCUUGAAAAAUCCAGGCCUCAGGAUUCUCUCCACGGAACCGCCCCAAUUCCACUGGCGCAGGUUUGUGAAAGAGUUUUGGUGGCCCCGGGCCCGAGUCUCCAAUUGAAUCAGUGUCAUGGCGAUGCCGCCUCAUGUCCAUUGCUGGAAUUUUGGUUUGGGGUUCCAAUGUUGCUAAUUUUCCAACCACUUCAUGUAACAUUGUUCGGAUUUCAGAAAUAUCCUUCGAAUAUGAAUCCUUCACACCAUUAAUGGAAUCUUCGAGAGUUCUGAUUUUUUUGUUGUCCAUUGAAGACCUCUGGAAGAAAGUACCAAUGAAACAAAUACGAUUUUACAACAAUAGAAUAGUGAGUUUACUGCGUUAACUUGUAAAUUAAACUUACAUUGAAGAUGCUAAACAACUGGAUAUAAUUACCAAUAACACAUAGAAGAAGUAGAAAGGGGUGAGAAGAGAGAACGUUAAUGGAUAUGAGAAUAGCGAAACUGCAAUCACAACUGCCCACCCACUUAGAUCUAUCCCUAGGUAUUUAUAAUUAAUUCACACGAUAAAAUCAUUUAACUUCUUUGAGGGUUGUUUCACACGUGCACUUUGCCUCAACACAUGUUGAACGUCCACAAGGUUUCCUUCUGAAGUGUCAUCUUUGUCACCGUCAAUGUCAGAAGUGUUAUCAAUAAACAGAUGUACAACUAUCUUUAUAUAUUUAUAUUUAACUUGCUUUCCUUUUGUAACCCUAGCUUAGGGACAUUUUGCCUUUAA
rnacentral:lncRNA from 1 species